rnacentral:rRNA from 1 species
AGUGAACGCUGGCGGUAGGCCUAACACAUGCAAGUCGAACGGCAGCACAGUAAGAGCUUGCUCUUACGGGUGGCGAGUGGCGGACGGGUGAGGAAUACAUCGGAAUCUACUUUUUCGUGGGGGAUAACGUAGGGAAACUUACGCUAAUACAGCAUACGACCUACGGGUGAAAGCAGGGGAUCUUCGGACCUUGCGCGAUUGAAUGAGCCGAUGUCGGAUUAGCUAGUUGGCGGGGUAAAGGCCCACCAAGGCGACGAUCCGUAGCUGGUCUGAGAGGAUGGUCGGCCACACUGGAACUGGGACACGGUCCAGACUCCUACGGGAGGCAGCAGUGGGGAAUAUUGGACAAUGGUCGGAAGCCUGAUCCAGCCAUACCGCGUGGGUGGAGAAGGCCUUCGGGUUGUAAAGCCCUUUUGUUGGGAAAGAAAAGCAGCAGGUUAAUACCCCGCUGUUCUGACGGUACCCAAAGAAUAAGCACCGGCUAACUUCGUG